rnacentral:rRNA from 1 species
UACGAAGGGUGCUAGCGUUGUUCGGAAUUACUGGGCGUAAAGCGUGCGCAGGCGGCUUCUCAAGUCAGGGGUGAAAGCCCAGAGCUCAACUCUGGAAUUGCCUUUGAGACUGAGUGGCUUGAGUACGAGAGAGGUGAGUGGAAUUCCCAGUGUAGAGGUGAAAUUCGUAGAUAUUGGGAAGAACACCGGUGGCGAAGGCGGCUCACUGGCUCGUAACUGACGCUCAUGCACGACAGCGUGGGGAUCAAACAGG